rnacentral:lncRNA from 1 species
UCCUAGUUACUUUAAUAAACUUUCAGUAUACUGACUAUGAUUCAAGUAGGGAGGGUAAAUUAGGUGGUUAAGUUAUUUGGUUGUAACAUUGUGUGAGGUUAUGGGAGUAUUAUGAUCCUUCUAAGUCCCUCCCACGUCACGCGCAGAGAAGAAAAGGGUUAUGGUGGUAGCAGCUAAGAGUUCUUGGUUUUAAGAAGUGCUAGGGACAAAGAAGAUUGGAGAAGAUAAUGAUGGAUAAAGGAAAGAAAGAAAAACAUUUGUUAAAGUAGGUGUUGAUGUGUUGCUGAUUUGGCAUCCAUGUCGACAAUUUUGAACAAGAUGAUAUGUCACUUGACACAUCACCUGCCACCUCAACUAGCUCCAAAACAAUAGUAGUUGAAUCUAAAAGAGAGAGGGAACUUUGAUUAUAUUUAAAGUACAAAGAAAAUUUUGAACUUAAAAAUAGUUUAGUAGGAAUUUUUAACAUUUUUAAAG